UCAGUCAUGCUCCUGUUGCUUCUGGCAGUACUGGGGAUGAUUUUGAGAGAUGCCAGAGCUCAGUCUGUGACUCAGCAAGUCGGCCCUGUCACCGUUGCAGAAGGAGACUUUCUAGAGUUUGGAUGCAACUAUUCAUACAGGGGAACUGUUUCUCUCUACUGGUAUGUCCAGUACCCUGGCCAAGGCCUCCAGCUUCUCCUCAGAUAUUACUCUGGGGACCCCAUUGUUAAAGGGAUCAAAGGCUUUGAGGCUGAAUUUAGGAAGAGUGAAUCUUCCUUCAACUUGAGGAAACACCCCACGCAUUGGAGUGACUCAGCUGCGUACUUCUGUGCUGUGAGUGCCACAGUGCCUGGGACUUCAGGGCGAGCUGAACACAAACUUUGUGAGAUGCUAGGGAGGGUGACUGAAUUCUGA